CUUUCUAUCAGCCGCCAAAACUCAACAACCACCAAAACUCUCACGUCUCCUCAUUCGAUCGACUCAACCCUCGUCUCUCAUUCUCUCACAUCUCCAUUUCUGAACGGUGGUUAGACUCAUUCAACCAUCUUCUUCAUUCAAUCUCACAACCAUGAAUACAGGCCAGCUUCGUCGUCUUCUUCUCGUCUUCGUAACUUCCGGCGCCGCUAGAUAACCACCACCAUCACCGCCUUCGCUUGAAUCAAAGGUCUCGGAACACCAAUCACAUCCGAAGUACAUCAUUCCUCCAUUUCAACCGCGAUUUUGAUUCUUAACACAAAACCCUAGGUUCUUUACGGACAGAAUUGAACAUUCACCGUCACAAAUUGAGCUCAAUUCCUUGGGGGUUCGAUUCACCAUAGCAUAAGCUUCGUGUUGGUGACAAGAACUAAGCAAAGCGGUGAAGUAAAGAAUGAGUUCGGCAGUUACCUAUCAGAGAUUAACAAAUGCAAUUUCGACAACGACGAAGAGAAAAAGAAAACCAGAUGCUCCGCCUUUCAGGGUAAACCAAGAGAUAACACACAGAGAUGAUGUAACUUUUUGGCUGAUACUUUGUCAAUAGGUUUAUGAAUACUAGAACAUAGAUGUGAGCUCAUCCCAAUUGAUGCCAAUUUAUCAUUUCCUUAGUCCUGAACCGUGUUGUCAAUGCAGGUUUCAUAGGAGAUGACAAGGAGACUUUUGAGACAUUUGAAUCUAUGGAGUUUGGACUACUCUUUUUCUAGAGGAACUGCUCAUUUACUUGCAAAGAUCUUGACUAUCAACAAACUCUAAGGUACAUGGUUUCAUUCGUGAUUGAGUUUUACACCGUUUAUUGUCACCACAUGUUUGGUUGAACACUGGUGGUUUCCUUGACAGGGGUACAACUUGCUGUUAACAACCAUGCGUGGUGAUUUUACUGUGUUUCAUUUCCAGUCAAAUUAUCUGGCUUUGCUUUCAGUGCCAACGGGUGGGUUCAAUCCUAUGGAUCCCACUAUGUCAAACAAGCAAUUAUCUAUGGUGAUGUGAGUCGUCCCAAGCCAAUGACUGUUUUCUGGUCUUCGACAGCUCAAAGUUUGACAAAGCGACCUAUGAAGGGAAUGCUUACUGGCCCUGUUACAAUUCUGAACUGGUCCUUUGUUAGAGAUGACCAACCUUGAUUUGAGACUUGCUACCAGAUUGCGUUGGCUAUAAAGGAUGAGGUUGAGGAUCUUGAGAAAGCUAGCAUUACUGUCAUCCAAAUCGACGAGGCUGCUUUAAGAGAAGGUUUGCCUCUAAGGAAAUCUGAGGAGGCUUUCUAUCUAAACUGGGCAGUUCACUCAUUUAGGAUUACAAACUGUGGUGUGCAAGACACUACCCAGGUUCAACUUCACUUCACGGGCUCUAAUCUUCAUUAAUGAUUAUUAUGCAGUUUAUUUACUAAGCUUGUAUUAAUUCUAACAACAUUUCUACAAGAGGAUUACAACAAGUGUCAAAAUUGUGGAAAGUUCAGUCCAAAAAUCACUGAACCAUUCUUCGGAUGGUUUCACAUAGUAAAUUAUUGGUUUCUCUCCUUGAUGGAUUCUAUUUUUCA